GUAACAGCCCGGCCCCGUACGACCGGCCCUGUUACCGCUCACAGCCCGUUACACCUCCCAGGGGCGGCCACUGUGAGCAGCUAUUAACAUCCCUUCACCCUCACGGGUUCCAGGCAGGAUUUGUCCCUCGGGGGAGCCAUUACGGCCCGCCCUAGCCCGAGUGGAUUUGGCCCAAUUCCUUCCUCUGGGAAUUAGGUCGCCUCCCCCACUGCUCGAACCCUUGACCUCCCACUUUAAGGGAAUAGUCUGGUGAGAGUGAGUACCAAUUCUUCUAGU
rnacentral:lncRNA from 1 species